UGGGGAAUUUUGGACAAUGGGGGCAACCCUGAUCCAGCCAUUCCGCGUGAGUGAAGAAGGCCUUCGGGUUGUAAAGCUCUUUCAGCAGGAACGAAACGGUGGUCCCUAAUACGGGUUACUAAUGACGGUACCUGAAGAAGAAGCACCGGCUAACUACGUGCCAGCAGCCGCGGUAAUACGUAGGGUGCGAGCGUUAAUCGGAAUUACUGGGCGUAAAGCGCGUGUAGGCGGGAGCUUAAGUCAGUCGUGAAAGCUCAGGGCUCAACCCUGAAAUGUCGACUGAAACUGGGCUUCUUGAGUGCGGUAGAGGAGAUCGGAAUUCCAGGUGUAGCGGUGAAAUGCGUAGAUAUGCGGAGGAACACCGAUGGCGAAGGCAAUCCCCUGGACCUGUACUGACGCUCAUGCACGAAAGCGUGGGGAGCAAACAGG
rnacentral:rRNA from 1 species